CUAAUUUUCUCUCAUUUCUUUCACUUCCUAUGGGAAAGACCAAGUGAUUUCUGGAACUCAUAGUCACAUAUUACAAUCUCUUUAUACCUCUACAUAUUUGUUCUUUGUAAGAUAGAACCUAAAUUUGAGUCCACUUUCACACCGCAUAGGUGACAGAAAGGUGAUGGUAUAUUUUUAGGGGAAAUGGCAGAAACACGUACUUGUGAAAUUCCCCCAGUUGUUCAAAUCUCAAAAAGGAACUGGACAUAUUCCCACAUCCUAACUCCCAAAUGUGAUGGUAUUAGGAGGUGGGACCUUUGGGUAUAAUUGGGUCAUGAAGGCAGGGUCUUCAUGAAUGGGAUUAGUCCUUUUAUAAAAGAAACUCUGUAGAGUUCCUUCAUUCCUUCCACCGUGUGAGAUCAUACCCAGAAGAUUACUGUCUGUGAACCAGAAAGUGGGCUCUCACCAUACACCAAAUCUGCUGCCAACUUGAUCUUGGCUUUCGCAGCUUGCAGAGCUUGGUCUUGCAUAUGAACUCAUAUAUAGUUAUAAUUCUCAUAGAUUAUGAAUGACCUCCAGAAGAAUGAACAAAAUACGAGGACAUUCUUAGCAAAGAAUGAGGUCAUAUGAGGAGAAAUGCAAAACUGGUUUCCAGAAAUCUCAUAAGGAGUGGAUGAUAUGGCAUCAAUAGAAAACAUGUUAACAGAGGCUGUUUAUAUUCCUUGGCUAAUGGCCCAUUCUUGACAUUAUUCUGAUAUCUGCAACCACCUUCGGAGUCUGCUGCUUUGACCAUACGUCUGUUGUCAUCUUCCCAUCACCUUCUCUGACUGCACCCUUGCUCUUAUGAGGAUCCCUAUGAUUACACUGGACCCACCAAGAUAACCCAAUAUAAUCUCCACACUCAACAUUUUAAAUUUAAUCAUAUCUGCAAAAUCUCUUCCACUGUGUAAGGUAACACAUUCAUAGAUUCUAGGGAUUAGGACAUGGACAUCUUUAGGUGGCCAUUAUUCUAUUUAUCACAAUUUCCUAUUCAAUUUCCUAUCAAAGGUUUGAAGUAAUAUUAAAAACAACACAAAAAUAUGCCAAUAUAAAAAUACAAAAUAUAAAUUCUAGAAAUUUGAGUGUAAUUCCCAC
rnacentral:lncRNA from 1 species